rnacentral:rRNA from 1 species
CAGUCGCGCGGUAAUACGUAGGGUCCGAGCGUUGUCCGGAAUUACUGGGCGUAAAGCGUGCGCAGGCGGAUAUAUAAGACAGAUGUGAAAUCCCCGGGCUCAACCUGGGACCUGCAUUUGUGACUGUAUAGCUAGAGUACGGUAGAGGGGGAUGGAAUUCCGCGUGUAGCAGUGAAAUGCGUAGAUAUGCGGAGGAACACCGAUGGCGAAGGCAAUCCCCUGGACCUGUACUGACGCUCAUGCACGAAAGCGUGGGGAGCAAACAGGAUUAGAUACCCCAGUAGUCCCUGUCUCUUAUACA